ACUCCUACGGGAGGCAGCAGUGGGGAAUCUUGGACAAUGGGCGCAAGCCUGAUCCAGCCAUGCCGCGUGAGUGAUGAAGGCCCUAGGGUCGUAAAAGCUCUUUCGCCAGGGAUGAUAAUGACAGUACCUGGUAAAGAAACCCCGGCUAACUCCGUGCCAGCAGCCGCGGUAAUACGGAGGGGGUUAGCGUUGUUCGGAAUUACUGGGGCGUAAAGCGCGCGUAGGCGGACUGGAAAGUUGGGGGUGAAAUCCCGGGGGCUCAACCUCGGAACUGCCUCCAAAACUCCCAGUCUUGAGUUCGAGAGAGGUGAGUGGAAUUCCGAGUGUAGAGGUGAAAUUCGUAGAUAUUCGGAGGAACACCAGUGGCGAAGGCGGCUCACUGGCUCGAUACUGACGCUGAGGUGCGAAAGUGUGGGGAGCAAACAGGAUUAGAUACCCUGGUAGCGACUGA
rnacentral:rRNA from 1 species